rnacentral:lncRNA from 1 species
CGCCUGUAAUCCCAGCACUCGGGAGGCUGAGGCAGGAGGAUCGUUGUGAGUUCAAGACCAGCCUGGGCUACAUAGUGAGCUCAAGGCCAGUUUGAACUGCAUAGUGAGACCCUGUCUCAAAAAAAAAAAAAGACAAAACGACAACGAAAUACACAAAACAACAGUGGGAGGCUGAGGCCAAAGGAUUGCAAGGUUCAAAUCCCACCUACACAAUUGAGACCUUAUCUCAGAAUACAAAGUUUAAAAAAGGGCUGGGGGUACAACUCAGUGGUAGAGCGCCCCUGGGUUUACAUAUUUUUGUAUAUAUGGAACCAUCUACAACCAUCUGGUUAUUUUUGUUUUUUUUUUUUUUUUUUUUGUACUGGGAAUCGAACUCAGGACCUUGCGCUUGCCAGGCAAGCGCUUGUGCCACUGGGCUAUAUCCCCGGCCCCAGUAUACUUCCUUUCUUAAAAAGUUUCCAACAAAGUUCUCCUUGUUUGUUUCCCCUUCACUCUCUAACCCAUGGCAGUCUGGCUUCCAGAGCCAGGACACCUGUUUUAGUGUAUUUAAAUCAAAACAAUGAUGAACUUUGUUUCACAUAACAGGGUGGCUACUUUGUAUGUCUUUUUUGCUAGGCUAGAUCCUUAGCAUCUUCCUUGGGGAGGGGGAACCUCCCUUACUCUGACAUCGACAAGCUUUUCCACCCCAUCAUCAUAAUAGCCAGUACAUGAGUUAUAACAUGUGUUGGGGCUCUUGUAACAAUGUGGAAUGUCUUGGAUUGUAUCAAUUCACUUAAGC